rnacentral:lncRNA from 1 species
AACUUCUAGAAGCUGCAUUGAUUCUUCUAUGCAGUUUAAUAAGAUUCUAAUGAAUACAAAAGAAUGAUUUGUCCAUAUAUAAUCCUUAUUGAGGAUAUUAGGACAAAAUAUAAUAGGAGCAUAGAUUAAAUCAUAAGGCUACAUAUUCAGGUGAAGAACACAGUGUAGCACUGAUAAAACUCAUCUAUUUAUUGCAGAAGUAGAAAAAUUACCUUUCUAACAAUAUGAAUUUCCUGUUAUUCCAAGAUAAAUUUAUAUCUGGCUGUUCAUUCUGUAUGAAAUUAUAUUUUUGGUAUAAUAAUACAAAGAAAUUAAAUUACUAACUUUAGCCUCUUUUAUACAUUUGUUUCUACAGAGACUCAGCCUGAGGCAACACACUGCUCAGUGCUUCAUAUGCUAUUCUUCAGGUAAAACAAGUUCUCAGUUCUCAAGUGGUUUCAUAAGAACAUAUUUUUUAGAGGACAGGACAAAGCUCCUUCCCUCCUGCUCUACAAAGAUACCCACUGUUCCUCACGUCAGGUUGACGCUUAUUACAUUGAGAAGCAUUCCACUGUGUAAGAGGUAUGUCCUAAUCAUAAGUAAUUGAAUUAAACAAAAGGGGUAACUUUGUUUCUCCUCCCCUCCCCUGCCCUCCAUAGCUGCCAGGGCAGUGAUUCAAG